rnacentral:rRNA from 1 species
CCCCUUCGGGGUGAGCGGCAGACGGGUGAGUAACGCGUGGGAACGUACCCUUUGGUUCGGAAUAGCCCUUGGAAACGAGGAGUAAUGCCGGAUAAGCCCUACGGGGGAAAGAUUUAUCGCCGAAGGAUCGGCCCGCGUUAGAUUAGCUAGUUGGUGGGGUAAAAGCCUACCAAGGCGACGAUCUAUAGCUGGUCUGAGAGGAUGAUCAGCCACACUGGGACUGAGACACGGCCCAGACUCCUACGGGAGGCAGCAGUGGGGAAUCUUGGACAAUGGGCGAAAGCCUGAUCCAGCCAUUCCGCGUGGAUGAUGAAGGCCUUAGGGUUGUAAAAUCCUUUCAGCGGGGAAGAUAAUGACGGUACCCGCAGAAGAAGCCUCGGCUAACUCCGUGCCAGCAGCCGCGGUAAUACGGAGGAGGCUAGCGUUAUUCGGAAUUACUGGGCGUAAAGCGUCCGCAGGUGGAUAUUCCAGUCUGAUGUCAAAGCCCGGGGCUCAACUCCGGUACUGCCUUGGAAACUGAAUAUCUAGAGUGCCGUAGAGGUAUAGGGAAUUCCCAGUGUAGCGGUGAAAUGCGUAGAUAUUCGGAAGAACAUCAGAGGCGAAAGCGAUCCACUGGACCGAUACUGACACUCAGGGACGAAAGCUAGGGGAGCGAAUGGGAUUAGAUACCCCGGUAGUCCUAGCUGUAAACGAUGGAU